rnacentral:rRNA from 1 species
GACGAACGCUGGCGGUGUGCUUAACACAUGCAAGUCGAACGGUAAGGCCCUUUCGGGGGUACACGAGUGGCGAACGGGUGAGUAACACGUGAGUAACCUGCCCUCAUCUCUGGGAUAACAGUCGGAAACGGUUGCUAAUACUGGAUAUGAGCUUGCAAGGCAUCUUGUGGGUUGGAAAGAUUUUUUUGGUUGGGGAUGGACUCGCGGCCUAUCAGCUUGUUGGUGAGGUAGUGGCUCACCUAGGUUUCGACGGGUAGCCGGCCUGAGAGGGCGACAGGCCACAUUAGGACUGAGAUACGGCCCAAACUCCUACGGGAGGCAGCAGUGGGGAAUAUUGCACAAUGGACGGAAGUCGGAUGCAGCAACGCCGCGUGCGGGAUGACGGCCUUCGGGUUGUAAACCGCUUUCAAUUGUGACGAAGCUUUUUGUGACGGUAGCAGUAGAAGAAGCACCGGCUAACUACGUG